ensembl:lncRNA
GUUUAGAUCCUUGCCUGCCCUUUGCAGGUAUGUUUGAUGAUCUUGAUGGCUUUAACAAUCAGGAGAUAGAGUUGCAGACUUAUGAUGGUUGUCGGGGAAAAUUUGAAAAAUCUGUUCUGUACCACUUAUUCUAUUUUCCAAGAGUUACUUGACAUAGACACAGGUUCAUACAUGAAUGACCCAGCGUGACUCUGGCAUGUGGCUGAAGUUUCCCCAGGGACACCAGGCAGGAGAGCUGAGACUUGACGUCGGCUGGCCUCAAGAGACCUUGGAGUCGGUGAGGACCACGUACUGCCUGGGGAGGCAGGUCUACCUUUGACCCCAGCCCUAGGGCAUGCUGGGAGAAAGAGCGAGACUGAGGCUGGAGAGGGGAAGACAGCACCCAGGGUGGUACCAUUGAUGACUCAGGUUCCUCCUCUGCUCUGGCCGUGCCCCUCGCAUUCUGUCUCCCUGCAACCCUGAUCAAGUACUGACUGUGGGCACUCGGUGGAUGCACUGGGACUCAUGAACCUACAUCUGCCCCCAAGGGAGUUUAUCGCCCACAGCGGGGAGCCUGGCUGGGGCUGCAAGAAGCAGCUGUGGCAGCUGAGUGAGAGGGGAAACUCUUACUAGAAUAUUUGGGCUGGCAAGUGACACCACUUCUGCUCUGAGAUAAGAUGGAGACUUUUCCAAGCUAUGUUUUAAAAUCAUAAAAAAACAGAGUCUCCUGCUGGAGAUAAGAUAUAAGUUGGUGUGGAGCAUCUGGGAGCUGUAAAAGAGGAGGGUUAUACCAGCAUUACUGAGGUUAUUACUGAAACCAAGAUUAUAAGUAAUUAAAGUUUUGAAAGUUUUCUCCAGGUACACAAUAGACUACUCAGUAUGUUGGAUUCUUGAGCUGGGGUCAGGUUAACUAUUAAAAGAGGAUGAAAAGUAUUUCUAACAAACCUGACAUUUAUUUAAAACCUACCCUAUUCCUGCUGUUUUAGCAGAUAUCGCUUUAAGCUGUGGCUCUUUUCCUGGCUCUCGGGACUUCUAAUGUUGAUUCACUUCCAUGCCUACUUCAUGGUGCUUUACCUCAUUUCGAUGUUAAAUUAGCCUGCUUGUUAUCAUGCUGGAAUGGAUGGUCUUCACCACGCUGUCUCCUGGGAUCCAACAAACUCAGAGCCUUCGGAGAAACAAGGACCAACCUUCAUAGCAUUUCUUCUCCAACUAUAACUCCUUUUGCUAGAAGCAAAUGCUGGGCUUGCACGGGAGAUUCUUGUCCCCCCCUCCCUUUUUUUUUCUCAGAAAGAGCAAAUUGCAUUUUUCAUUGCAGGAGCACACAAGCCCUAACUUUCAUGUGCCUAAAAUGUUCUUUAAUCGGCGUCUUCUUUCAGUAUCUUUGAUCUGCAGGAUGUAAUCACAUUUUCCUUGAAGAUAUAAAUCAUCCAAAAAAAAAAAACACAGAAGAGGAGAAAUGCCCUUAAAUAG